CAUCAAUCAACCGGGACGAUUUUACGAUCUCACUUAUUCAAAACUAAAGACUCGGAGGAUCCAGUACUUGGAGUCUUUUAUUACUGUCAAUGAUUACAGACGAACCAGCUUAUUUAGAGGACGAAAAUCAUCCUGAUCAAGUUCCAUCACAGGAAAUGGUACGCAAGCCUCAAAAAAGUGCAUAGGUAACAUGAUGUUGAAAGAACGAGGAGAUUGGAAAAGAAAGAAGUAAAUUGAGAGCUAUACAGAUAAAUCUAAAAGUAAACAUAGAGGACAAUGAUGCAUUAGAGACUGGCAUAUCAUCUCAUACGGACAACACCGCAGGAGAGUUUUUUUAUAUUUGAACAAUUCAGCUUCGCUUCAAAGAAAGUUGGAUGCAUUGGAAAAAAAAUUUAAUCUCACCGUUUGGACUUACGGAAGAUAUUGAAAAUGCUAUAAAGUAGGGAUAUUAUACCGGAUUUGUAUAUACUUUUGUAAAUAAUACAGGCUGUAACAAAAAUACAGGUCAUAAAUUAAACCACAUAUUCUGGGACCAAAAAUAGUUCGAUUGAACCUAACUUACCUUAGUACAAAUAGGCACACAAAAAAAGUUACAGCCCUUUGAAGUUACAAAAUGAAAAUCGAUUUUUUCCGAUAUAUCGAAAACUAUUAGAGAUUUUUUAAUGAAAAGUGACAUGUGGCAUUGUUAUGGUAGGUACAUCUUUAAAAGAAAUUAUAGUGAAAUUUGUGCACCCCAUAAAAAUAUUAUGGGGGUUUUGUUCCCUUAAACCCCCCAAACUUUUAUGUACGUUCCAAUUAAAUUCUUAUUGUGGUACCAUUAGUUAAACACAAUGUUUUUAAAAGUUUUUUUGCCUCUUAGUAAUUUUUCGAUAAAUCAUUUUCAAUCGAGAUGCGGCUUCUUUUUUAAUAUGUUUACGUAAAAAUUUUAUGGGGGUUUUGUGCCUUUAAACCUCCCAAAUGUUUGUGUACGUUACAACUAAACUAUUAUUGCGGUUACAUUAGUUAAACAGAGUGUUUUUGAAACUUUUUGCCUCUUAGUAUUUUUCCGAUAAGGCAUCUUUUAUCGAGAUGUGGCUUCUUUUCUAAUACGGUUCAAAAUAUACCUCAAACUGUAAUUAUUUAUAAAUAAUUUUUCGUAUUAUUACCAGUACGUAACAGUAUACAAAUAUAUGGUGGAUUUGACAAAUAUUCAAAAUAUCUCGACAAAAACUAGCUUUUCCAAAAAGUAAUAAGAGGCAAAAAAGUUUUGGAAAUAUUGUUAUUAACUAAUGGUGCCACAAUGAUAAUUUAAUUGGAACGUACACAAAAGUUUGGGGGGGUUUAAGGGAACAAAACCCCCAUAAAAUUUUUAUGGUGUGCACAAAUUUCACUAUAAUUUUAUUUUAAGAUAUUCCUGUCAUAAGGAUGCCACAUAUCCGUUUUCAAUAAGAAACCACAAACAGUUUUCGAUAUAUUGGAAAAAAUCCAUUUUUAUUUUG